rnacentral:rRNA from 1 species
GAGACUCUGUGCGCGUGCAUAUCAAUAAGCGGAGGAAAAGAAACUAACAAGGAUUCCCUUAGUAACGGCGAGUGAAGCGGGAAGAGCUCAAAUUUGAGAUCUUCAAGGUUCUACCUUGACGAAUUGCUAGUUUAUAGAAGUGUUUUCUGUUAGUAGAGUGGCAAAAGUUCUUUGGAAUAGGACAUCAUAGAGGGUGAGAAUCCCGUAUUUGGUCAUUCUUUCUAGCUUUGUGAUACACUUUCAACGAGUCGGAUUGUUUGGGAAUGCAGUCCAAAAUGGGUGGUAAAUUUCAUCUAAAGCUAAAUAUUGGCGAGAGACCGAUAGCGAACAAGUACCGUGAGGGAAAGAUGAAAAGAACUUUGAAUAGAGAGUUAAACAGUACGUGAAAUUGUCAAAAUAGGGAAGCGUUUGACACCAGUGUUGUUUUUCCGAAAAUCAAUUACGAAUGUUUUAUUUUUGAGAAGUUAUGACUUCAUCGGCUUGCUUCUUUCUUUACGAAACUUUCUUAAUGCACUUUUCGGUUAACAAGUCAACAUCAAUUUCUUUUGUUGUAAAAGGGUAUGAGGAAGGUGGCUUUCUUUUCGGAGAAAGUGUUUAUAGCCUUGUACCUCUGCAAUCGGAGAGAUUGAGGUCUGCAGCGUAGAUCCUUCGGGGUUAGAUACAUUUGUGCUAAGUUAUAGCUUUUCAUAGACAACUUGUUGACUAUGUUAAGUCUUGUAGCUUACUCGCUUAUGCUAUUUUACCUACGCUUAGGAUGUUGAAGUCAUCGUAUCGCGC